rnacentral:tRNA from 1 species
GCCAGAGUAGCUCAGCGGCAGAGCAAUGUACUCGUAAUACAUAGGUCGUGGGUUCAAUUCCCAUCUCUGGCUCCA